CCGACGGUGAGAGGCGAAAGCUGGGGGAGCAAAACCGGAUUAGAUACCCGGGUAGUCCCAGCCGUAAACGAUGUGCGUUAGGUGUAUCGGUGACCACGAGUCACCGAGGUGCCGAAGAGAAAUCGUGAAACGUACCGCCUGGGAAGUACGGUCGCAAGGCUGAAACUUAAAGGAAUUGGCGGGGGAGCACCACAACAGGUGGAGCCUGCGGUUUAAUCGGACUCAACGCCGGGAAACUCACCAGAUAAGACAGCUGAAUGAUAGUCGGGCUGAAGACUCUACUUGACUAGCUGAGAGGAGGUGCAUGGCCGUCGUCAGUUCGUACUGUGAAGCAUCCUGUUAAGU
rnacentral:rRNA from 1 species